rnacentral:lncRNA from 1 species
CCCAUUCUAGGAGGUUUUUAGGGUUUCCUAACCCUCCUUUUUUCUUUGUCUCUCUCUGCUUUCUCUAUUCGAUGGAAAACGCAUAGGGUGGUGGCGCUUGCACGCCCUGGCGACUGCUUGCGGCGGCGGUGUCCUGCGCGCCCGCGCCAACCAUCCUCCGGGGCAACGGCGACGUCUGCUCGCCUACGUGCCUAGACGGUGAGGCAGCGACAUCAGGACGCCCGUGCGCACGCGUGCCUGCACGGCGGCUGUGCGCCCUCACGCCGGCUUGCCGAACGGCGUGGCGGUGGUGCCAUCCUGCGGGGCGGCGUGGUGGUCGCAUGCCUAUUCGCCGGGCGGCGUGGCGGUCGUGCCCAUGAGUCGGAUCCACGUGGCUGCGCGCACGCGCUACGGAGCUGCAAGGCGAUGGCGCCCGCACGCAACUCUGGCUUGGUAGUGGCUGCCAGCCCACAACACCAGAGAGGCGGUGGUCUAUUCCUGCUUCGUCGUGCCUAGCUCAAGACCGGCUGCUUGCCUGCUUUCUCUUCAUGCUUGCUUUCUCUAUUAUGCAGAGGGACAACUCCUUUACGCAUGCACAGUGUACUACACACCACGUGUGGGAGAGAGGAGCAUGGAGGUGAGUGCUCAUGUUCAUCCGCUCUUCUUUUCUCUCUUUCUUUCGGAUGUUAAAUGUCUUGUUUACAUUUGAUUGAUCGUUGAUCGGUAUAUACCGACAACAAUCAUGGUAACAAGAUUUUCAGAUGCAAUAACUAACAAUAGUAGUUAGAUUCUUACCUUUUCGUGUUACUUCCGUGAACUCCUGCGUCGCGAGAGCAUUCGUGCUGAUAACUUGUUAAGAACCCUUUGCUACCGAAUGUAGUCCGAAUGCUUCUUAACUCAUAAACACAUGAGACACAAAGAUAUAGGAGGAACUGAGAUUCUUAUUCAUGUAUUCUGUUUUGGGUUCUGUUUUCUGGUUACAACAAAUGGUAGUGUCCUCCUCUAUAUAUAGUGCAAAGUUGGGGUUUCGGCUAGAUGAGCCACAUGGGCCUUCGGGGCUCAAACUGGUUUCUUAACACGUCUCUCCUCAGAUGGCGAGCAAUGCAAUUGAAUCCCACGUCUGACUCUCCUAUUAAUUUUUUUUGCACUAAUUGCAUGGUCAGGCGCAUGGUUCAGCGGACAUCGACAAAAUCAACCCACGGCUGGAUCUAAUCGUAGCACCCACUGUCGAUCCAAUGGCUGAUACUUGUUGAAAUAGCCUCACAUGCCACCGCCCCCGCCGCCUUCUUUGGAUUCUUUAAUUUAGAACUUUGUUUUGAACUUUAAAACUAAUAGUUAGCCGCUAAAAUUAGUUAGAAGAUUUAAAACGAGUCAGCUAAUAAACAAACUAAUUAUUAGUUAUACCUCUGAAAUAGCAAUUAGCUGUUAGCUGCUCCAACCCAGAUAAUCAGCUCUAGAGAUUUAGAGCACGAUCUUGACCCCUGCCUUCUUGUAGAUAAGCCCUAAAACCCUGUUUUCUCUCGCAUAGGGUUUUAAGCUCUCCAGUUUUUACGUUUUAGAACCCGAGAUCCAUGUUUUUAAUACCAGAACCCUGCAACUUUUAAACAUCUUACAAUUAUAACCUUGAAAUCUUGUUUUAUGCAUAACAUGGGCAUAUUAAAUCCUUUUAAAUAAAUCUUGAACCUACAAUCCCAUAUAAUGUGUAUAACAUUUUUAAAAUAAUGUUACUUCUUGUUGCCUAUUAUUGGUGUACUGUUCUUUCUUUUAUUAGUGCAUUGAGUGAAUGUUUGUAUCAUAUUGACGACAAUCAGUUUGUGGAGUCCAAAGGAGUUAGUAGUGUAAACCAUUUGCAUCUGUUGAUGAAGGCAAGUGUCAUCUGAUCUAUUAAUGACCUACAUUUACUUGAGAACUUACUAUUCUCACAUAACAUGCUCAACCUAAGGAUGACUAUUUUUCUAUUUUUCAUGUCCUUGUUUAACUAUGGGAAGGGCUGUGAUGUGUAGCUUUAAUGCUAGUACAUGAAUUAAUAAAUGAAUAUGAUAAGAUGAUGAAGAUAGCUUGAUCAAUGAUAUGAUGUUCCAAUAAAAUUAAAAGUGAUUUUAUAGCAACCUAGAGGCUUGAGAUGGUUUUCUCAAAUACUUCACCCUAAGGACUAGUUUGUUGAGCGAACAUCUGGGACAAUAGUGCUACCAUGAUGGUGGUGUCGGACGUUCUUAGCUGACUAACUUCAAGAACUAAAGGGUAGUUUGCUUCGCCAUCAUGCCAUAAAGGGUGUCUAGGGCAUAUUCCUCGAUCUGCCAAGGAUGGGUGCUUUUGUUAGUUGCCACCUUAGAGGGGAGUCCUAUGCUUAGGAAUUGGAGAAACCUAACAGGCGACUAUACCUUUGGGAAAUCUUUGUAAAGCCUACAUAAUAAAACUCUACCAACUCAUCUUGAAAGUGUUUAAGGGUCUGUACAAACUGAGGCAAGGGAAAUCAUGGUGAAUGGGUAAAGUGUUAUGUCGAACUGAAAUAUCAGUCGUGCUCAUGGUUAAGAGCGACUUGAUUUUCCUCUUUGAUUAGAGAUAUUGUGAUUUGGUUAUGAUGACAAAGUAAUUCUCAUAGAAGUUAUGUUUUCUUCUGUUAAUAAUUCUAGGUUGAUACUAAAACUUGUUUAAUCAAAUAAAAAACUUGUUUAUCUAAAAGCAACUGCUACUAGCCUAACUCCUCAAAAGUUAGUCCACCUUAGCCAAAUGAGGUAUUUGUUGAGUAUGUUAUGUACUCACCCUUGCUUUUCACACAAACAUCAGUUUGCCCUCAGUGCAACCCAUGCUCAAGUGAAGAAGAUGUCGAAGCGAGUCUCCAGGAGUUCCAAGACUUCGAUAAGUUUGAAUUCUAGGCCAGUGAGUCCCCCAAGUCAUAUGCUUGUGGAGGGUCGAGUUAUCUUAGUUUAAAUAGUUUGCAUCUUUUCAUGAGUAUGAUGAGAAAUGGUUGUGUUUAAAUAUUAUGGCUUCUAUUUGUUGGGAAUGAAUAUCAUAUGUAUGACAUAGACUAGGGUAAUCUAGGAACAGAUCCACUCCUCGCUUUGCUCAUCCUCGACUCCCUAAGGGAUCAGAACGUAAAAGCGCCCUAAAAAAAGGUCCGCUUUGCCCGCCCCUAGGGUCAGAACAGGCAGCCCCUGAGUUCCCCUAGUCAUAAAGUUGUACUAGAGAUAGUUUCAAAAAUGAGUAGAUGUGGACCAUACUAUAGUUGUUGGGGCGAAGGCGAAGACGCCACCCUUCGCUCGAUGCCUUCGCUGACCUCGCUGCACCAACGGAGACGAGACGACUGGCAGAUUUACCCUUCGGCCUACGCGUCGUCGGGCGAAGACCUGUGACGAGGUCGUCUCAUCUUGUGGCCUCGUCCAACAUGGAGGCCCAUGUGUGAUCCGGCCCAUUGUAACAGGCCCCGCGUGGCCGCUACGCAUUACGGGUCUAGGUUGUAAAGGUCUCCCUGUAAUUACAGUCUGUAACCCCGCUUUAUGGGAAUAUUCCGGGGAAAACCUAGGCACCUGAGGGCACAUGCGUCCUUAACACUGGACGCUGGGCACUCAGAUACCUAUAAAUACCCCCGCACAGUGCCCUUGAGAGGCUAGAUUAACAGAGCUAUUGCCAUCUCGAGCAAAAACCCUGUUUACAUUGCCUUCACUCCCCCGUUGGAUCAACUUGCCCAGGAGAGCAAGUUCCAACAUUUGGCGCCCACCGUUCGUGCUACGAAAAAACCACCCGCGAUGGCACCCAAGAGAGCUACCUCGAAGGCUGACGAGGCUGCGAAGGCAGCACUGCUGGCCGAGAAAAAGGGCAAGGCCCUCGUCGACACCACCCACCAAGAGGCUUGCGAAGACGACGCACUCAGCAAGAGGCAGCACAACGAGCAACCCACUCCCGAAGGCAUCCUCCGCACCUGUAGCUCUGGAGGACAACCACAACUUCCCCCAGGCUUCGCUCCACCAAAGGGCGCGGACGCCACCGAGGACGACGAAGUCAUCGGCGUUUCGGCAGAAGAACAGCUACAACUGCGUGCAUUGCGCAUCAAGAACCGUAACCUCCAGAAGCAAAAAGAGAUCCUCGAGGCCAAGCGCCAACGCGUGUCCGCACAAGCCAAGGUGCGACAGAUGAUACGCGACGAAGAGUAGAAGGCUCAGGAACUUGAACAAGAGAUCGCCCUCAUGCAGAGCGAAGGCCAACUCGGCCUGCAACAUGGCCCACCCCUCCAGCAGCGCGCACAAUUCGAAGACCUGUUCAUCCCUCAGCGCGGACAUGCCGUCCCACACGUAGCGGCAUUCCAAGGCGUCAACUAUCUUGACGAGCAAAGUCCCCUGGCGCCUCACCUGCAGGUGUCACCAUGGCCCGCCAACUUCAGGACAGAGACCUAUCCCAAGUACAACGGUAGCACUGACCCCGCUCAGUACAUUAUGAGCUAUCAGGUCGCCGUUGCAUCAUCCGGAGGGGACGACGCCACGAUGGCCAAGUCAUUUAUCAUUGCCCUCGAAGGCCCAGCCCUCACCUGGUACACCAGGUUGCCGCCGUUGUCCAUUGACUCCUGGAGAAGUCUCCGGGACAAAUUCUUGCUCAACUUCCAAGAGUACCGCCCAGACACCGACGCCUUGGCUGAACUUUCACUCUGCAAGUAGCUGGAAAAAGAGACUCUGUGGGAGUACUACCGCAAGUUUCUGACCCUCAAGUCACAACUGCCUUCGGUCGAUGACCAAAUCGCCAUCCACUACGCCAUCAGUGGCCUUCGGGUCGGCGUCCUUUACAACCACUGCAUCAGGGAUCCGCCCAAGAACCUUCAGGAGUUGUAUCAGCUAUUUGAAAAAUAUGCCAGAUCCGAAGAGCUCCACCAGCGCAAAGUCAAGUCUCAGAGGAAACCCAAAGACACUCCACAGUCCAGCCGCACGUGGACGAGGCCUUCGCAGCCAGACUCCGGUCAGGACGGCCGUAAUCAGCAGCGGGUGCACAACAUCGCCAACCAGCACCCCGCUGGUGAGGCCCCUCGCCGCCAGGAGUAUCCCCCAGGGCCGCGGGAGCGGAACUCGUGGUCGGGGCCGGGGACGCGCGCAACAGCCGUGCAGAUUUUACUGCCUGUUCCACGGCGAAGACUGCGCCCACCCUACCAAAGACUGCCCAGAGACGAAGGCCACCAGAGACCGGAUGGCACGGGCGCAGCGAGCCGACAACCCUAGAGUUGUCGUGCACACAUAUCAGCAACCCCCUCCGCCAUACAUCCACGGCCCCGCUCUGCAUCCACCGCACCACGCAUACCAGCACCACCAGGAGGUACAAAUCGUACCUCCCCCACCCCCACCUCCACACUAGCAACAACAAAACAUCCACCACCCCCACGCCCCAAAGCAAGAGGACUUCGCCGAUCAGCCGUAUCGCGGAGUCAUUCAUAUGAUCACUGGGGGGUCCAGCGCUGACUUCGACACAAAGCGUCAGAAGAGGGACCAUUACCGCAGCGUCAACCACGUCGCCGUCACAGGCCCAGUCGUGCAGACAAAGUGGUCCCAUGUGCCACUAACCUUCGACGCCCGAGACGUCGAUCUGCGCAGCGCACCCCAGAUCGACGCCAUGGUUAUCAACUGCAGCGUGGCAGGCUGGGAUCUGCAUAAAGUCUUAGUCGACAAUGGCAACCAGGCGGAUAUUAUCUUCCUCCAUGCCUUCGAUCGCAUGGGCAUAAGCCAUAGCCUGCUCAAGCCUUCGGACAACCCGCUGUACGGUUUCGGCGGCAAGGGCACCUUUCCGGUCGGCAAAAUAGAGUUACCUCUCCUUCGGUGUAUCACCCAAUACCCGAAGUGAGCAAAUCACAUUCGACAUCGUCGACAUGGUGUAUCCGUACAACGCCAUAAUGGGCCGGGGCUCCAUCAACAAGUUUGAGGCAGCCAUUCACGGACUUUACCUGUGCAUGAAGAUACCAGGUCCGCAAGGCGCCAUCACGGUCUACGGCAACCAGCAGGCUGCGCGUAACAUAGAACGAGACUUCGUCCCCGGGCAAAGAAACGUGCACUGCCUCACGGCCCAGCGCGAGGUCCCCGCGUCUGCCAGCCCAACUGACAAAGAACACGACAAAGCACAGCUACAGAGCAACGACGGGACCAAGACUGUCCCCCUCGACCAGGCCACGCCCAAGCAGACGGUCACCAUCAGCGAAGACCUCACUUAGCACGAUGAGGAGAAACUCCUCUGCUGCCUGUCCAAGAAUAAAGACGUCUUCGCCUGGUCCGCCCUCGACCUAGUCGGAGUCAGUCGUUCCAUCAUCGAGCAUAGUUUAGGAAUCGACCCUUCGGUGAGGCCGAAGAAACAGAGGCUGCGUAAGAUGUCAGACGAGAAGACAGAAGCCACCAAGGCCGAGGUACAUCGCCUGCUUGAGGCCAAAUUUAUCGAGCCAAUCGCCUACCCCACAUGGCUCGCCAACGUAGUAAUGGUGCAGAAGAAGAGCGGCAAGUGGCAGAUGUGCAUCGACUUGACCAGUCUUAACAAGGCCUGCCCCAAGGACAACUUCCCGCUGCCUCGGAUCGACAAAAUCGUCGAUAGUGCGGCCGGGUGCGAGGUCAUGUCACUCCUCGAUUGCUUUUCCGGCUACCAUCAAAUAUAUAUGAAGGAGGAGGACAAGGCCAGCACCAGCUUCAUAACACCCUUCGGCACGUAUUGCUUCAUCAGAAUGCCGGAGGGACUCAAGAACGCCGGGUCCACUUUCUCCCGGCUUACCAAAACGGUGCUCGAGGGGCAAGUCGGUAGAAAUAUAUUCACGUAUGUGGACGACAUCGUCGUCGCCAGCAGAAGCAAAGAGGACCAUCUUGCUGACCUCGCCGAAACGUUUGCGAACAUGCGGGACGCACGACUUCACCUAAACCCCGAAAAGUGGGUCUUCGGCGUUUGCCAGGGGAAAAUAUUGGGCUACCUGGUGUCACACCGCGGAAUCGAGGCCAACCCAACCAAAAUUCAGGCCAUCAUCAACAUGACGCCCCCGCAGUCAGCCAGAGACGUCCAAUGCCUGAUAGGCAGAUUGGCCGCCCUCAACAGAUUCAUCUCCAAAUCCGUAGAGCGAAGUCUCCCCUUCCUCAAAACUCUCCGCGGCACGAAAUACUUCACUUGGGGACCAGAGCAGGCGGUGGCCUUCGCCUCAUUGAAACAGUACCUGUCGGAAUUGGCGAUUCUUACAAGCCCCGACUCUUCGCUACCCCUGUUGCUCUAUGUUGCGGCUUCACCACAUGCGGUCAGCGCAGCACUGGUUCAAGAACAAACCGUAGAGGGCAUGAUCAGGCAGUGUCCAGUUUAUUGCAUCUCCAAAGUACUCACACCAUCAAAAUGUAAUAUGACGGAACUGGAAAAGAUUGCCUAUGCAGUUGUUAUGGCAUCGCGCAAAUUGCGCCACUAUUUCGAGGCAUUCAAGGUCCGGGUCACCUCAGAUAGGGGACUCGGCGAACUGUUUAGAAACCCGGAGGCAUCAGUCCGGAUCGCCAAAUGGGCAGCCGAACUUUCCGGCUACCACAUCACAUUUGAACCCAGGACAGCCAUCAAGUCACAAAUCCUGGCAGACUUCAUUGUCGACUGGACUGGGCAAACAACAUAGCCGGACCCGUCGACAGAAAAAGUAUGGACAAUCCAUUGCGACGGCGCAUGGUGCCAUGCGGGGGCAGGCGCCGCUGUAGUCAUUACUUCACCCACAGGGGUCAAGCACAGAUACGCAGCACGCCUCAGCUUUGCUUUGUAGUCUGACAGAUGCACUAACAACAUAGCAGAAUAUGAAGCUGUCAUCCUCGGCCUUCGCAAGUUAAGGGCCCUUGGUGUCACCACCUGCAUCAUCAGAACGGACUUCAAGGUAGUCGCCGGCCAAGUCGAGAAAGACUACGCAGCAAAGGACCCCGCACUUAUGCAGUACCUCGCAGCUAUCCGCAGCUUCGAGAGACAAUUCAAAGGUUUCACCUUACAGCACGUGGACCGUGCCAAGAAUGAGGAGGCUGACGUGUUGGCCAAGGCAGCCGCCCGAGGCGAGGCCCUGCCCUCCAACGUAUUCUACCAUGUCAUCGGUACGCCAGUCGUCCGCAGCCCAGAAGGGCUCCAAAUAACCAAUGACAGCGAGGGCCACCGCAUAGUCAACCUUAUCUUGACCGAAGACUGGCGGGCACCAAUAACCCUGUUCCUGCAGGGGUACUAUCAUCCAACCGACAUCAAUGAGGCCAAGCGCCUCAAACACCGAAGCCGGGACUUCGCACUAAUUGAAGGACAACUUUACAAGAAGGGGGUCAGUCAACCCAUGCUUAAAUGUGUCACCGAGACCGCAGGCAUCCAAAUUUUGCACGAAGUCCACAGCGGGACUUGCGGCUCUCAUGUAGGGCCCAGGGCACUAGCCGCAAAGGUAAGCCGACAGGGUUUCUACUGGCCCGCCAUGAUCUGCGCCGCAAAUCGGGUCACAAGCUCCUGCGAAGCCUGCCAGAAAUUUUCUCCACGAUCGGGAAGCCCUUCGCAGUUCACGAAGCUAAUCGCCCACACAUGGCCUCUUCAGCGCUGGGGCCUGGACAUCGUCGGGCCCUUACCCACAGCCUAGGGGAACCUCAAGUUCAUCUUCGUCGCUGUCGAAUAUUUUACCAAAUGGAUCGAGGCGAGGGCUGUAUCCACAAUAACAUCGAAGACUGCCCAGAAAUUCUUCUGGCAAAAUAUUGUUUGCCGCUUCGGAGUCCCGUCCGAACUCACAGUUGACAAUGGCAAGCAAUUUGACAGCCAAGACUUCAAGGAUUUCUGCUUCUCCAUUGGCACCAAGCUUGCCUUCGCCUCAGUAUACCACCCGCAAUCCAACGGAGUUGUGGAACGCGCAAAUGGAAAAUUUUUUACAGCUGUCAAGAAGAUGCUCCUCGACGAUAAAAAGGGCAAGUGGGCCGAUUUGUUACCUAAAGCGGUCUGGGCAUUGAACACGACCGAGUGCAGGGCGACUGGGUUCACCCCUUUCCGCCUUCUAUACGGAUCGGAGGCCAUGACCCCGCAAGAAAUAAAACACGGGUCCCCACGGACAGUCCCGUCAGCUGUCCCCGACGUGGACGAGCCCACUUCGAAGAACCUCAUCGAUGGAGACCGCGUCUUCGCCAUACAAGCUCUAAACAAAUACCAAGUCCAAACUAAAGCAUGGCGUGACCACGCAGUCAUCCCGAGGGAAUUCAGCGAAGGAGACCUCAUACUCGUCUGGACAGCUCGGACAGAGUCCUGGGGCAAGCUGGAGCCCAAGUGGGAGGGCCCUUUUAUCGUCAAGACGAAGGCGUCCCCCCAGCGCGUACAGGCUCGCAACGCCAGCCGGCGAGGACUUGGAGCAUUCUUGGAACAUUGAUAAUCUCCGCAAAUUUUUUGUUUGACUCCUCAGGGCCAGCUCGCCCUUGUAAUUCGCAAAACAAUUUUAUUCUGGCCCGCACUCUUUUCCUCCCGAGGGGUGAGGUUUUUAACGAGGCGGAGCCAUGUAAUAUACAAGCGAAAAAUUCCCCACAAAAAUCUACGUCGAAACAGGACCGCGUCGACGGUCUUCGACAUUUGACCAAUACAAAGUCACCGCGAGGGGCAGCGCUAGCUACCCUCGUGUGCGACACUCCACGCAAAAGUCGCCUAAGGGUGCAGCCGGACUAGCACAACAAGUGCGCAAAAUCGAAGUCUUCUCCGGAAGACUAUCCAUGCAAAAGCUGCCUUAGGGUGCAACCGGACUAGCACAACAAGUGCGCAAAAUCGAAGUCUUCUCCGAAAGACUAUCUGUGCAAAAGUCGCCUAAGGGUGUAGCCGGACUAGCACAACAAGUGCGCAAAAUCGAAGUCUUCUCCAGAAGACUAUCCGUGCAAAAGUUGCCUAAGGGUGCAGCCGGACUACCACAACACGUGCGCAAAACCGAAGUCUUCUUCAAAAGACUAUCCGUGCAAAAGUCGCCUAAGGGUGCAGCCGGACUAAUUCAACAAGCGCGCCAAAACGCAAGCGCAUUACAUUCAUGCACAACUCUACACCAAGAAACUAUCCGCGCACAGACCAACUACAGGCGCAACCAGACCAACAUAAUAAAUGCGCCAGACCAAGCGCGCAACGCCCCUAUAGACAUAGCCGGAUGCGCGAAGGCACACAGCUUCAUCAUACAAACUAUAGUAACAUACUUACAGGGAGGGCAUCACACCUUACAUCGGUUCAACCUUCGGAAUGAUUCCCAUCUCCCUAUAGUUAAAUAGCAUUAUCCUAAGCUCCUCACCCUCAAAAAGACUUCGCAACUCCCCCUCACCUACACUCACCCCAGCCGGCGAGGACAACAAUUCCUGCUUGCCAGCCCUGCCCACACGAAGCCGACCGCCAUCCACCUCACUCACUCUACGCUUCGCCACCGCCCUUCGCCGCCUACGCCCAGCACUCGGACCAGGCACAACUUCAGCAUCCGCACCACGCGGAGAAGUCUCCGCCACUGCCACAUCCAAGGCCGCAAAGUAAUCCAAGUAAUCAUCCGAAUACUCUUCCGUCCACUCAACCGAACUCCCAGAGUCAACAAAAUCAAAAAACUUAGAAGCAGACUCAUCCGAUUCAUUCCCAUCAUCCACGGUCGAAACCGCCACAAAAUUAGCAGUAGCGGUUGCGUGCGCAGGCCCAAAAUCUUGAACCUACGCAGCAACCAAGGUUCAGCAACAUAGACAAAAUUUUCUAACUACCCCACACCCACUAAGCCACCUGCGAAGACCCAGCCGCCGCCAUGGGAUCCUCCGCCGCCGGCUCCGCCGUCGUCUUCGGGGGAUCCUCCACCCUUGGCACAGCAGUUGGCGACGAGCCUCCGCCGGACGCGGCAGCCGUAGGAGCAGCGUGGGAGCCUUCACCAGUUUCCGGGGGCGGUGCCAGGUCGACCUCAGCCUCGGCCACCACCGGGUUGGCCUCCGCUUCGGGCCGCACUCUGUUCAGGGGUCCGAAGUCCUCCACGACCUCGGCACGCGCCGCCUACGACACAACACACCGAUUCAGCAAGCCCACACAUACCCCACAUUCAACAAACACUAAACAAAAGACAAACUUUACCUGGUCCCUCGCCCGGUCGGACCGCUCCCUCACCACCUCCCGACCGUGGGGGCCCCACAUCCGGUCAAAGAGGGCACCCGCGGAGUCCUUCACCACAGGGUCUUUGACCUUGAAAAUCUCGCGCCCAAAAUCAUCAUCACAUCGGUCGAAGACCUCAUAGUGACUGCACCCCUCGCGGGACAACGCGUUCAUCGCCCCUUCGCAGGUGACGAGGGAGGCAAAGGACAUAAAUCCCUCCACAAUGGCCGGGAGCGCCAAAAGUUCCUCCUGCAGCCACUCGAGGAAGCGAAGGCCCGCCUCCCGGUCGGGCACUUCGAAGUCAGCAGUCCGCGCGCCCAGCUCGCGGUAUGAGUCCACGAGCUGUUUGCGCGUCCACUCAACUUCCGAGCACGUAGAGGCCUCGGCCCUCUUCAUGCGGGCUUGUAGAGCGUUGUACCGCUCCUCCCAUUCCUCGGCGCGCUGGUUGGCGAGACUACCCUCCACCCGUGCCAAAUUGGCCUCCGCCUGCGCCGCCUGCACCUUGGCGAUGGCCUGGUUAGCCUCCCUCCUCUCCUCCAACAACUGGCGCCGGAGGUCCGUCCUCUCGCCCUCCAGGGCGUCCACCUUCUCUGCCAGCUUGCGGCACUUGCUGUCCGCGACCGACUUUUCCCGGACGGCGUCAGCAUGCUGCGCCCGAAGUCUCUCGACUUCGGCAGACACAUCUGCCGUAAGGGCCCCCGACACCACACGGUCGGCGAAGUCGGCCGCCUAACAGACACACGUGAGACCACAAUCCACAUGGAAGCGGUAAACAACGAAGUCCAGCUCAACUUACUUGACUCAGCCGUUGGGACGCUUCCCUCAGCCGGCGGGACAUAGUGCCCGCUUCGUCCUUGACGGCAGCGACCGCCGAAAUCUCACCACCAGCGUUGAGCGCACCACCCUUCGCCCCAGGCACCGCGGCAGACACUGUGGUCGCCACCACAGGCGGAACAACAGCAAGUUGCCCUUCGCCCGAUCCUGCAGCGUAUCACCAGUUAAAAAAACUUACUUACCAACGAGAUAAUCGUCCACACUAAUAUUGGUGCCGAAGUCGGGAACACGCUUCCCCGGCGAAGGCAAUUCCCGGACCUUCGCAGCUCCGGCCGUGGCAGACUUGGUGUCGCCGGCUCCGGCCGCCUUCGCGCCCUCCAGCACCUUGCUGGACCCAGGGGUGGCUGGCUUCGCCGCCAGCGUCGGCUAGCUACUGCCGGGGGCGGUAGCCUUCGCAGUCCCCCGAGCCCUCUUCGGCCUAGCCUCGGGAAGCCUGAUGAUCGCCCGACGCUUCUGCGCAGCUUCCUGGCGAUCCUUGUUCAUCACUGCCGACACAACAGCAGCAAUAUUCCGUCCGUAAGGAAAUACUCUCAGGUCACGAGCCAUGCGAGAUGUAAAAGAGUCUUCGCCGGCCGCGCGGGGGAUAGGAACGUUCUUAGGCCACCGACCCCCGGUAACCUCCAGCAUCCGCGCUGAAGACUCCCGAAGCUCGGGCGAAGACAUCCUUCCCCUGGGGGCCGCGCAUGUCCCCAUCAACUCCAUAGCAAAACUAUCGGAGACCCCCAGUCCUCCCAUCGCAGUACCUAGCUUCCUCUUCUUAGUGGAUGGGGCGACCGCCGGCGCGGAGUCGUCUUCGGUCUCAGCCGCCAUUUUUUUCCCGCGGCGGUCGACAACGUCUUGCCCGGGAUAACCUCCAUACGGCAAACGGUUCAACUCGAAGACCCUAUUCAAGCGGUCGUUGGGUCCGCGUAUAUCCCAACUCCGCUGGGCCUCCGUCUUUGGCACGUAACGACCAACAAUCCGCACCGCCCCAUCCUCUGCCUCACGCACGAAUGCGGCGGGAUCCCGGCCAUGCAAAUCCAGUGCGAAGGCAGGACUCCGCACUAGCAUCCCACCGCGGGAAGGCAUCUGGCGAGGGCAUACUUCGCCCACCGCCCAGCCACGCGCCAAGGGCCAUACUCCAUACCUGACAAACUCCUCCACUAGAUCGCGUCCGCUACUCAUGCGGGCCGCGCACCGAAGGGCCUCUUCAUUUUCAUCCUCCUCUACUACCUCAAACUGCUGGUACACUGAGUAAUAAUGCGAACACAUCUCGGCCACGGGGAGCCCCGGAUGGUCUUCGACUGUGGCUUCGGCAACGUAGAACCAAAAUUCCCACCAGUUGCCCCAUUUAUUGCGGGCGCGGAGAACCAACUCAACAACUUCCAUCGAAGUCUUGUCGGUCUUCGGCGUAAACGUGCAAGAUCCAAAUUGUGCAAUCUUAUUUCUGAUUUUCCUUUUCUACCAAUGCAGACAAUAAUGCUUCGCGAAGACUUCGACCGAGGGCUGCCCGCCGUACGAAGUCGUUGCCCAGACAUAUUUUGCCAAGGCCACCACGACAUUCGGCGUCAGCUGGUGGACCUGGACGUCGAAUCUACGCAGAACUUCUCCCACAAAUCGAUGCGCGGGCAGACGAAGGCCAGCGGCGGAAAAAGCCUCGAAGACGACCAACUCGCCUUUCGGCUCGGGGACCUCCUCUGUCCCCAGGACACGUGCCACUCCACCGCCGAAAUACCCAAGCUGCUGCAUGUCUUGCACAUGGAUCGAGGACAUCCGCGACACACCGAACUCCACUGUGUUGCCGGCGCGCAACUCCUCCGCCGCCACAUUGCUCAGCGUCUCCUCGGACGACGCGCCGGCCGGUGGUGUAUCGGCAACAGAAGAGGAAGAGGACGGCAUCGCUAUGUACCGUUGGCGGCGGCGGGCGGUCUGCUUCACAUGGGCCAGAUCUCCGACGAGCAAGAGCAAGGAGGGCAGACGAGCAGCGAGCGGUUUGAGAAGGAAGUUAGGGUUUUCGCGGAGCACGGAAAGAUAAAGUUCAAAACGGGCCGCCGCCGCCCCCCUUUUAUACACAGGGCGCGGCGCUUCGGGAAACCCGCAAUUCAACAGUACGGCGUCAAUCAACGGUCACGUCAAAAACCUCCGCGGAACCACUUCGAGUGAGGGCAGCGUCUACACCAUCUAGCGAUGUCUUCGGCACCAGAUGACUUAGUCUAACUGGUCCCUCGGAGGGCAAAUGUUGGGGCGAAGGCGAAGACGCCACCCUUUGCUCGAUGCCUUCGCUGACCUCGCUGCACCAACGGAGACGAGACGACUGGCAGAUUUACCCUUCGGCCUACGCGUCGCCGGGCGAAGACCUGUGACGAGGUCGUCUCAUCUUGUGGCCUCAUCCAACAUGGAGGCCCAUGUGUGAUCCGACCCAUUGUAAUAGGCCCCGCGUGGCCGCUGCGCAUUACGGGCCUAGGUUGUAAAGGUCUCCCUGUAAUUACAGUCUGUAACCCCGCUUUAUGGGAAUAUUCCGGGGAAAACCUAGGCGCCUGAGGGCACAUGCGUCCUUAACACUGGACGCUGGGCACUCAGAUACCUAUAAAUACCCCUGCACAGUGCCCUUGAGAGGCUAGAUUAACAGAGCUAUUGCCAUCUCGAGCAAAAACCCUGUUUACAUUGCCUUCACUCCCCCGUUGGAUCAACUUGCCCAGGAGAGCAAGUUCCAACAAUAGUACAGACAUGUGAUUGAAUGAUAGGACAUGAGGAGAUGUGCCUGAACAAAGGUGUCACCUAUCAUGGUACAUGCACUAACACCAGACCAACCACUCCCUUGCCACAAAUUUAACAAAGGAUGAUAGGAAAUCGGUCAUGAGAGAAGACAACACAUAAUGGUGGCCAAGAUGUUGCUAUAGGACCCCGAAAGAAGAAGGAAGAGUCAACUACAGAAGUUCACUCGUCAGCAAGAACAUCGAAGGACAUGAAGCGUACGAUAAAACCUGACCCUAUUGGAUUCAUGUAAUAGGCUCCCAUCUACCUUGACCUAUAAAAGUAAGAGGGGAGUCUCAAUCUAGGAAAUGAGCAACACGAGCACAAUAGUAGCCUGUACUUGUAGUCCACGAAGUACCUCGCACCACCGACUGAGACUUGGACAUCCAACCCUCCCUCAACUCCAUUUAUAAUUUGCCCCCAGUGUAAAACGAGGGUAGGGUAUACGAGAUACUUGACUAGACGAAGCGACAUUCGGCCAAACCAAACUAGUGUAAAAAUCUUGUCUCCCACGGUCACCAUAUACACUAGAUGGUCGAAGUACUUAGAAUCACUAGCUGGUGUUUUUAGAAAACCUACAAUAGGCACGCUAAGUAGAGGGUCCUUUCAGGUGUCACAACAUAAGUUCCACCACAUGGUCAUGAAUGGCCACCCACCCUGUUUGUUGAGUUCGAGGCACAAGCAUGCGUUUUAGCACUCUUGACUUCGUGUAACACCCUGAAUUUGGUGUUAUAAAAUUUCUUUGUAAUUAUCACCCAAAUUCAUGUAUUACUCUUCUCUCUCUCACUCUAGGUCUUAUCUCUCUCUAGAUUCUCUCUCCCUUUUUCCCUUUUAAGUAGAAAUAGCUUAAGGUUAGGGGGAUUUAAUUAUUUAUUUUUGCCAAAACAUUUAUGAGUCAUGACAUGUUGCAUCAUGCUGAGCUUAAAAUAUUCUUUGAAGUGUUGCACAUGUUUGAAUUUAUUUGAAUUUGAAACCUAAUUUGAAUUUGGAAUUGAAAACCCUAUAGAAAAGAAAUAGAAAAGGAAUUAGAAAAUUCAGAGAAAAAGAAAAAGAGAAAGCAGCCCAAACCAGCCCAGCUCGGCCCAGCCAGGCCGUGCGCUCGCACCGCAUGACAUGCGGACCCCGCCUAUCAGCGACAGCCCUCUCUCCCGCGCGCCCUCCCUCUCUCGCUCGCUGCCUAGUGGGGCCGAUCUGUCGGCGCCAGUUUUCUUCACCCGCGCGGUUCCCCUCUCUCUCUCUGUCUCGCGGGCCCGGUUCGCCAGUUGCUGAGCCAUUGCCCCGUGCAUCCCCUUUUAUCUCUCUGCGCCGUGGGCCUGCCCUGUCAGCUCCGCCCUCCCUGCGCCCAUCGUGGACCGGUGAGUGCGCACUCGCGCACGUCGCCGGAUUUCUUGGCCACAACGCCCACACAUGCGCCCAGCUCCCUUCUUAGAGCCCCACCAGCGCCCCGCACUCGACCCCCCCGCCACAUUUCACGCAGCUCCGCCCUCUCUCACGCUCUGCCCACGCCGCCAGCAGCCGCCGGAGACCCGCGCCCGCGUUCCCAACCAUCCAGCUCGUCGGAGACCGCGCUAAGCCUCCCCGAGCUCCGCCCUGAGGUGAGACACCUGUCCCCUGCCCAAUUUUUCCUGUUGCACUCUGUGCUCGGCCAAUUUUGGCUUCGCCGGUGCUCGGCCGCGAUGGACCACCGUGCUCGCGCGGUGGCCGGUCGAUUUACCCCGGUCGAGUUCCCCGGCGUUAGUCCCUAAGGUGCCUCUGCUGAAGCUAGCCCAAACAUUAGCGCGCCUUAAGCCCCCUCCCCAUGACCGGAAUGCCUCACCAGAAUUACUCCAGCCCGCCCAAGACCUUCCCUCCGCUGUUCUCCCCCCUCUGCAGGCGGAUUCGUGGCCUCUUCCCCGCCAUUGAGUUCACCGUGGUGUUCUCUCCCUCUCUGCCCAACUCCGGUGACCCCAGAGCCACCCUAGCUCGCGCCUUCUUCAACUCCGGAGACCUCACCGCCGCGGAGAAGAGUAGCACCGCCCGCAGUCGUUCACCCCUCCACGAUCUGAUCCCCUCCGUCCGAUCUUCAUCGCACAUCCCAGAUCACGGAUAACGCUUCGCGCACGCGUGCCUGACACCCUGGCCCGCUUGUCAACGCCCAAGCUCCCUGGCACUGGGCCCGCUCGGUCAGUGCGCCCUCCCCUCUGUCGCUGACGCCCCUGGCCUACCUGUUAGUGCACGCCCGUCCCCCCGCGCGCGCCCUCGGCCGCAGAUCUAAUCUCAGCCGUUAGUUUUAGAUCUGACGGUUAGAUUCACCCGAUGCCCCUUUCGUGUGGCUGUUUUAUUAAAGAGAUCCUCGGUUUAUUGGAAAUCAACCUGCCGUCCCAGAUUUUCGCGUGCAGGCCCUGUAUUCUUACAGAUUGAACCCUGGACUUUUAAAUAUUCAUAGAAUUAGACCUAAUUUCAUAUUUUGAAUUCCCAAACUUGUUUAUUUCAUAACUUUUGCAUAUGAACUCCAAAUUUAGUGAUUCAAAUUGCAAAAUGUUCAUAGAAUUAUUCUCUGUCUAAAUAAAAUAGUUUCAUUUACUGUCUGCACAUUCUAAUUUCUAUGAUUAAGUAUGCACUAAUGUAGAUGUAGAUUUAUUUAUUUAAUAAAAUAAAUAAAAGGAAAACCUUAUGGAUUUAAACAUGUUUAAGGUGGUGAGAUUAAUAAUGUGUAUUACAUGAGUUCACCUCUGUUCUAAUUUAUUAGGUCACAAAUAAAAUAAAUUGAACUAUGAUUAUGUACUUAUAAGUAACACUUAGGGAAAUAAUAAUCUAUUUCCAAAUGAAGUUAAUUUAUAUUAUAGUUCAUGUUAUACUUUGAAUUCAUUAUCCCUUAUGUAGUAUUGUGUCUUUUUAAGAUGUGUUCCAAUGUUUAUACAUGUUUGGUGUGAUGUUCAUUUGUACUUUCCAAAUGUAUUGAAUGCAUGCUCGCUUUAUUUAGACAACGAGCAGUCCGAGGUUC